rnacentral:rRNA from 1 species
UGGAUGGUAGUGUAUUGGACUACCAUGGCACUUACGGGUAACGGAGAAUUAGGGUUCGGUUCCGGAGAGGGAGCCUGGAGAAACGGCUACCACAUCUAAGGAAGGCAGCAGGCGCGUAAAUUACCCAAUCCUGAUUCAGGGAGGUAGUGACAAGAAAUAACAACCUGGGAGCCUUGAGCUUUACGGGAUUGUAAUGAGAACAAUUUAAACGACUUAUCGAGGAACAAUUGGAGGGCAAGUCAGGUGCCAGCAGCCGCGGUAAUUCCUGCUCCAAUAGCGUAUAUUAAAGUUGUUGCUGUUAAAAAGCUCGUAGUUGAACCUCUGUGUGAGCAUAGUUUUGGCUUAGGUCAGACUACUGUUCAUACAUCCGCUUGCGAAACUAUCUCGAUCUUUGUUGGUCGACUAGUAGAGUAGGCCCUUUACUUUGAAAAAAUCAGAGUGUUCAAAGCAGGCAAUGGCCCGAAUACACUAGCAUGGAAUAAUAGAAAAGGACUUAAGUCAAUUUUAUUGGUUAUUUGGCAUAAGUAAUGAUUAAAAGGGACAGUUGGGGGCAUUAGUAUUUGAUUGUCAGAGGUGAAAUCCUUGGAUUUAUCAAAGACUAACUUAUGCGAAAGCAUUUGCCAAGGAUGUUUUCAUUAAUCAAGAACGAAAGUUAGGGGAUCAAAGACGAUCAGAUACCGUC